UACGUAGGGGGCAAGCGUUGUCCGGAUUCAUUGGGCGUAAAGAGCGUGUAGGCGGCCAGGUAGGUCGGUUGUGAAAACUGGAGGCUCAACCUUCAGAGGUCGACCGAAACCAUCUGGCUAGAGUCCGGGAGAGGAGAGUGGAAUUCCUGGUGUAGCGGUGGAAUGCGCAGAUAUCAGGAGGAACACCAACGGCGAAGGCAGCCCGCUGGGACGGUACUGACGCUGAGGAGCGAAAGCGUGGGGAGCGAACAGG
rnacentral:rRNA from 1 species